UACGGAGGGGGCUAGCGUUGUUCGGAAUUACUGGGCGUAAAGCGCGCGUAGGCGGUCUGUUAAGUCGGGGGUGAAAUCCUGGGGCUCAACCUCAGAAUUGCCUCCGAUACUGGCAGUCUCGAGUGCGGGAGAGGUGAGUGGAAUUCCCAGUGUAGAGGUGAAAUUCGUAGAUAUUGGGAAGAACACCAGUGGCGAAGGCGGCUCACUGGCCCGUAACUGACGCUGAGGUGCGAAAGCGUGGGGAGCAAACAGG
rnacentral:rRNA from 1 species